rnacentral:rRNA from 1 species
AGAACGAACGCUGGCGGCAGGCUUAACACAUGCAAGUCGAACGCCCCGCAAGGGGAGUGGCAGACGGGUGAGUAACGCGUGGGAACGUGCCCUUCGCUUCGGGAUAGCCUCGGGAAACUGGGAGUAAUACCGAAUACGCCGUAUUGGGAAAGAUUUAUCGGCGAAGGAUCGGCCCGCGUUGGAUUAGCUAGUUGGCGGUGUAAUGGACCACCAAGGCGACGAUCCAUAGCUGGUCUGAGAGGAUGAUCAGCCACACUGGGACUGAGACACGGCCCAGACUCCUACGGGAGGCAGCAGUGGGGAAUCUUGGACAAUGGGCGCAAGCCUGAUCCAGCCAUGCCGCGUGAGUGAAGAAGGCCUUAGGGUUGUAAAACUCUUUCGCCGGUGAAGAUAAUGACGGUAACCGGAGAAGAAGCCCGGCUAACUUCGUGCCAGCAGCCGC